rnacentral:rRNA from 1 species
AGCAUAUCAAUAAGCGGAGGAAAAGAAACCAACAGGGAUUGCCUUAGUAACGGCGAGUGAAGCGGCAACAGCUCAAAUUUGAAAGCUGGCCCUUUUAGGGUCCGCAUUGUAAUUUGUAGAGGAUGAUUCGGCGAGGGCUCCUGCCUAAGUCCCCUGGAACGGGGCGUCAUAGAGGGUGAGAAUCCCGUAUGCGGUAGGUUGCCUUAGCCAUGUGAAUCUCCUUCGACGAGUCGAGUUGUUUGGGAAUGCAGCUCUAAAUGGGAGGUAAAUUUCUUCUAAAGCUAAAUACCGGCCAGAGACCGAUAGCGCACAAGUAGAGUGAUCGAAAGAUGAAAAGCACUUUGGAAAGAGAGUUAAAAAGUACGUGAAAUUGUUGAAAGGGAAGCGCUUGCAACCAGACUUGUCCGCAGUUGCUCAGCCGGUCUCCUGACCGGCGUACUCUUCUGCGGCCAGGCCAGCAUCAGUUCGGGCGGUCGGAUAAAGGCCUCGGGAAUGUGGCUCCUCUCGGGGAGUGUUAUAGCCCGGGGUGCAAUGCGGCCAGCCUGGACUGAGGAACUCGCUUCGGCAAGGAUGCUGGCGUAAUGGUUGUAAGCGGCCCGU